GUGCUCACUUUGGCAGCAUACACACUAAAAUUGGAACAAUACAGAGAAGAUUAGCAUUGUCCCUGAGCAAGCAUGACACACAAAUUCAUGAAGCAUUUCAUAUUUUU
rnacentral:snRNA from 1 species